rnacentral:lncRNA from 1 species
UUAAGUGUAUCCUGUGUUGAAGUAAAUAACUCGUUUUAGGGCGAUCUUAACAGAAACUUUAAAAAUGUAGAAUUGUGCCUAUUUUAGAAACUCUGUUCUCCGGGCAGUUUUGCAGAACUGAAUUCCCCCACAUUAUAAUAUGUAAUUUCUCUUUAGGAUGCAACUAACCAUUGUAUAAACUUGAGAUUAUUAACAAAUCCGACUGGGGACAAGAUUAUCACAAAGUAUCUGACUGUAACAAAUCUAAACCAACAAGGUGAAGAUUGAAUAGCAUCAUGAAAUAGUUCCAGAACUGUUGGAAUGCCAGAAAAGAAGACUGAAAUUGGCUACAUCUUUUCCCAGGUGCUAGAGAACAGAUAAACAGAAAAUACUGUUGCAUCAACCAAGAAGUAUCUACUGAAUGCUUCCUUCAUGGAGUGAAAUAAUCAUUUCCUAUCCCAGGUCAUGCUUAGCUAUAGAGGACAUCUAGAUAUGAAGUUUGAAAGAAGAACGAGCUGGUGUACCCAGAAUACAUAAUAGAAGACAAGGAGCCACCAUAAAGAUACAAAUGAAGUUAAAGAAUAAAGAGUGUGAAUGGAAGCAACAC